rfam:Xenopus laevis strain J chromosome 4S, whole genome shotgun sequence.
UGAUGACACUUUCUCCGGAAUCUCUGCAUCUCUGUGAUGACUUGCAAUAUGAACCCUUUUCCAGCUGAUGACUGUAUACUUGAGU